AGAGUUUGAUCCUGGCUCAGGAUGAACGCUGACAGAAUGCUUAACACAUGCAAGUCAACUUGAAUUUGGGUUUUUUAACUUAGAUUUGGGUGGCGGACGGGUGAGUAACGCGUAAAGAACUUGCCUCACAGCUAGGGGCAACAUUUGGAAACGAAUGCUAAUACCUGAUAUUAUGAUUUUAAGGCAUCUUAGAAUUAUGAAAGCUAUAUGCACUGUGAGAGAGCUUUGCGUCCCAUUAGCUAGUUGGAGAGGUAACGGCUCACCAAGGCGAUGAUGGGUAGCCGGCCUGAGAGGGUGAACGGCCACAAGGGGACUGAGACACGGCCCUUACUCCUACGGGAGGCAGCAGUGGGGAAUAUUGGACAAUGGACCAAGAGUCUGAUCCAGCAAUUCUGUGUGCACGAUGACGCUUUUCGGAAUGUAAAGUGCUUUCAGUUGGGAAGAAAAAAAUGACGGUACCAACAGAAGAAGUGACGGCUAAAUACGUGCCAGCAGCCGCGGU
rnacentral:rRNA from 1 species